GACGAACGCUGGCGGCGUGCCUAAUACAUGCAAGUUGAGCGCUGAAGGUUGGUACUUGUACCAACUGGAUGAGCAGCGAACGGGUGAGUAACGCGUGGGGAAUCUGCCUUUGAGCGGGGGACAACAUUUGGAAACGAAUGCUAAUACCGCAUAAAAACUUUAAACACAAGUUUUAAGUUUGAAAGAUGCAAUUGCAUCACUCAAAGAUGAUCCCGCGUUGUAUUAGCUAGUUGGUGAGGUAAAGGCUCACCAAGGCGAUGAUACAUAGCCGACCUGAGAGGGUGAUCGGCCCCAUUGGGACUGGGACACGGCCCAAACUCCUACGGGAGGCAGCAGUAGGGAGUCUUCGGCAAUGGACGAGAGUCUGACCGAGCGACGCCGCGUGAGUGAAGAAGGGUUUCGGAUCGUAAAAAUCUGUUGGUAGAGAAGAACGUUGGUGAGAGUGGAAAGCUCAUCAAGUGACGGUAACUACACAGAAAGGGACGGCUAACUACGUG
rnacentral:rRNA from 1 species